AGGGCGAACGUUAGCGGCGGGCCUAACACAUGCAAGUCGAACGAGAAUGAGGGCUUCGGCUCUUUAGUAAAGUGGCGGACGGGUGCGUAACACGUGGGUAAUCUACCUUCCGGCGGGGGACAACAGUCCGAAAGGGAUUGCUAAAUACCGCGUACGUCAGCGAGGUCUACGGAUCUUGUUGGGGAAAGAUGGCCUCUCUUCAGAAGCUGUCACCGGAAGAUGAGCCCGCGCCCCAUCAGCUAGUUGGUGAGGUAAUGGCUCACCAAGGCUUAGACGGGUA
rnacentral:rRNA from 1 species